rnacentral:rRNA from 1 species
UACGGAGGAUGCAAGCGUUAUCCGGAUUUAUUGGGUUUAAAGGGUGCGCAGGUUGUUUGAUAAGUCAGUGGUGAAAGUCUGUCGCUUAACGGUAGGAUUGCCAUUGAUACUGUUAGACUUGAGUAUGGAUGAGGUAGGCGGAAUGUGUAGUGUAGCGGUGAAAUGCAUAGAUAUUACACAGAACACCGAUUGCGAAGGCAGCUUACUAAUCCAUCAUUGACGCUGAGGCACGAAAGCGUGGGGAUCAAACA